AUACUAUAUUGUGAGCUAAGGAGAGUGAGGUAGGAAAAUGCAUAAUCAGGGUGCUGCUGGCUGGAGAAAACUACUCAGUGCCUUUGAAGACAGCUCUAGUUAAGGUUCAAGAGCAGCCACUGCUAGCAUAAUUACUAUCAAUGAAAGUGGCAACACCCGUGGUGAGUUCCCAGAAUAGCUGAGAUUCUAAUUGAUAACACACAGAGAACACAAGCAAAUCAGAAAGGACAAAAGGCUAUUAAUUUUGAGUAUAAACUACAUGAAAUGAAAAUGAAGACAAGGAAAAUGUGUUUUAACAGAAAGAAAGGACUCUGUGCUCAGAAUCGGCUUCUUCCUUUUAUGGGUUGA
rnacentral:lncRNA from 1 species